UCAAAUUUGAGGUUAUUGAAGUCAAUUGUUAUUAAUUUAAAUUAUUCAAGAGUAAUUAUUAAGGGAAUACAUUAAUUCGUUGGUGCAACGCACCCUGACAGAAUACAUACCUGUACCUUUUUGACUUUCUUUGCCUUCUUGCUGUUUGGAUUAUUAAUAUAAGAGUAAACAUACAGUGUUUCAUUAUUACUGAAAAGUAAUAAAUAAAAGCGUUGAUGCAGUUAGUAAAAGGAAUUGUAUUAGCUGAUGUUGAUAACUGAAUAAGGUUUCUGCUGGACCAUGUAGAAGUAUUCUUUACUAACAGUGAAGAGGAAUAUAAAAGAUUUAGAUAGUAUGACUUAAUACGUUCCUUUAAAGUAUUCUGAAUUUGUUAAUUUUGGAAUUGAAUGUAUAUUAUUAAUCUACUUUAAGUAUCCUUUAUUAUUAUCAAAUGUGUCUUUGGAAUAAAUGAAUGUUCCUAUGUUGU